rnacentral:rRNA from 1 species
UACGUAGGGUCCGAGCGUUGUCCGGAAUUAUUGGGCGUAAAGAGCUCGUAGGCGGUUUGUCGCGUCUGCUGUGAAAUCCCGAGGCUCAACCUCGGGUCUGCAGUGGGUACGGGCAGACUGGAGUGCGGUAGGGGAGAAUGGAAUUCCUGGUGUAGCGGUGGAAUGCGCAGAUAUCAGGAGGAACACCGGUGGCGAAGGCAGUUCUCUGGGCCGUAACUGACGCUGAGGAGCGAAAGCGUGGGGAGCGAACAGG